UACAGAGGCCUCGAGCGUUAGGCGGAAUCACUGGGCUUAAAGCGUGUGUAGGCGGAUUGCUAAGUACCUUGUGAAAUCCCACGGCUUAACCGUGGAACUGCUUGGUAUACUGGCUGUCUUGAGCCACUUAGGGGCGACCGGAACAAACGGUGGAGCGGUGAAAUGCGUAGAUAUCGUUUGGAACGCCAAAGGUGAAAACAGGUAGCUGGGAGUGUGCUGACGCUGAGACACGAAAGCCAGGGGAGCAAACGGG
rnacentral:rRNA from 1 species